AGAAUCAACGCUGGCGGCGUGCCUAACACAUGCAAGUCGAACGAGAAAGUGGAGCAAUCCAUGAGUAAAGUGGCGCACGGGUGAGUAACACGUGACUAACCUACCUUUUAGUGGGGGAUAACCUAGGGAAACCUGGGCUAAUACCGCAUAAUACCUACGGGUCAAAGCAGCAAUGCGCUGAAAGAGGGGGUCGCGGCCGAUUAGCUAGUUGGCGGGGUAAUGGCCCACCAAGGCAGUGAUCGGUAUCCGGCCUGAGAGGGCGCACGGACACACUGGAACUGAAACACGGUCCAGACUCCUACGGGAGGCAGCAGUGGGGAAUUUUGCGCGAUGGGGGAAACCCUGACGCAGCAACGCCGCGUGGAGGAUGAAGUCCCUUGGGACGUAAACUCCUUUCGAUCGGGACGAUAAUGACGGUACCGGAAGAAGAAGCCCCGGCUAACUUCGUGCCAGCAGCCGCGGUAAUACGAGGGGGGCAAGCGUUGUUCGGAAUUAUUGGGCGUAAAGGGUGCGUAGAUGGUUCGGCAAGUCUUGUGUGAAAUCUUCAGGCUCAACUUGAAGUCUGCACAAGAAACUGCCGGGCUUGAGUAUGGGAGAGGUGAGUGGAAUUUCCGGUGUAGCGGUGAAAUGCGUAGAUAUCGGAAGGAACACCUGUGGCGAAAGCGGCUCACUGGACCGUUACUGACACUGAGGCACGAAAGCUAGGGGGGCAAACAGGAUUAGAUACCCUGGUAGUCCUAGCCCUAAACCAUGAUUGCUUGGUGUGACGGGUACCCAAUCCCGCCGUGCCGUAGCUAACGCGUUAAGCAAUCCGCCUGGGGAGUACGGUCGCAAGGCUGAA
rnacentral:rRNA from 1 species